AUUGAACGCUGGCGGCAUGCUUUACACAUGCAAGUCGGACGGCAGCGGGGGUGCUUGCACCUGCCGGCGAGUGGCGAACGGGUGAGUAACAUAUUGGAAUGUACCGAGUAGUGGGGGAUAACCAAUCGAAAGAUUGGCUAAUACCGCAUACGUCCUGAGGGGGAAAGCAGGGGAUCUUCGGACCUUGCGCUAUUUGAGCAGCCAAUAUCUGAUUAGCUAGUUGGUGGGGUAAGGGCCCACCAAGGCGACGAUCAGUAGCGGGUCUGAGAGGAUGAUCCGCCACACUGGGACUGAGACACGGCCCAGACUCCUACGGGAGGCAGCAGUGGGGAAUUUUGGACAAUGGGGGCAACCCUGAUCCAGCCAUGCCGCGUGUCUGAAGAAGGCCUUCGGGUUGUAAAGGACUUUUGUUAGGGAAGAAAAGGGAAGUGUUAAUACCACUUUUUGCUGACGGUACCUAAAGAAUAAGCACCGGCUAACUACGUGCCAGCAGCCGCGGUAAUACGUAGGGUGCGAGCGUUAAUCGGAAUUACUGGGCGUAAAGCGAGCGCAGACGGUUACUUAAGCAGGAUGUGAAAUCCCCGGGCUCAACCUGGGAACUGCGUUCUGAACUGGGUAGCUAGAGUAUGUCAGAGGGGGGUAGAAUUCCACGUGUAGCAGUGAAAUGCGUAGAGAUGUGGAGGAAUACCGAUGGCGAAGGCAGCCCCCUGGGAUAAUACUGACGUUCAUGCUCGAAAGCGUGGGUAGCAAACAGG
rnacentral:rRNA from 1 species